CUAGUUUAUGUGAAGUGUGUCCACUCAGCUCAAGACAGUGUUUUCAUCUAACAGAUCAACAGAUUUUUACAUUCCAAUAUUCAGGGUUUAACCCUUUAGUGUUCACAUUAUUCUGCCAAAAUUAAUGCUUUUUUAUCCACAUUAUUUUGAACUGAUCAUGCAUUACCUCGUAGCUAUGAGAUUUUGAUGAGGUAGCUGUUAAUUUUUAAAACGAUAUUGUAGGGUUGGCGUGAGAGACCAGAUCUGGCCAGUUUGAACAUAGAAUAGGCAGAAUACUUUUGAUCGGAUAUGGCCGGUUUAAAUGCUAAAGGGUUAAUUGUAACCAAUCAGGCUGUGAUAAGCAAAGCAAUGUAGCUAACCAAGAGACACAACACAAUGACUCUUGUUAGGUUUAUUAGUGUCAAGAAGAACGUUCAGCUAUAAAUAAUACUUGAGAUAAGCUGAAGUUUUUAAUAUUUCUGUCAUUUCAUGAGAGAUUUGAGAACCAUCAACUUGAGUAUAUUGUUGUUUACCUUGUUUUAUAAGUUUUUAAAAACUGUUUUACUUAAUUUUUUAUUUUUAUUUUUAUUCAAAAGACAUGGACAUUAAAGGAAUCAAGGAGAAAAUUGAAGCCGGGGACAUUGAAGGUGCGAAAAGCAUGAUAGAAAAACGUUCAGACAGAAUUAACCAACCAAAUCAGUGGAAAGAAACUUGCCUGAUGUGUGUGUGUUAUGAAAGAAACCCAGUUUUAAUAGACUUAUUAAUCGAUGCAGGAGCUGAUUUAGGAAUGACAGACUUGCAUGGUUCUACAGCUUUGCAUUAUGCUGUGACGGGGUAAGUUCAGAAUUAACCAGAAUCUCCAGAUCUGUUUUUGUUUCUAGAUUUCUUCCAAUUCCACACAGAUUAAAUAUCCAAAGAUGCCAUCAUGUGACAUGUUGACAACAUGUAACGACCACCAUCCUUUUCUUAUUUUUCUCCUGUCCCAUUCAUUAUUCUAUUCUACUCUAGGCACAAGGCCCAACAUUUUUGGUGGAAGGGUGUCAGUCGAUUAGAUCGACCCCAGUACGCAACUGGCACUUAAUUUAUCUACCCCAAAAGGAUUAAAGGCAAAGUCGACGUUGGCAGAAUUUGAACUCAGAAUGUAACGGCAGACGAAAUACCGCUAAGCAUUUCGCCCGGCGUGCCAACGUUUCUGCCAGCUCCUUGCCAACUUCUGCUAACGAUUCUGCCAACUUCUGCUAACGAUUCUGCCAACUUCUGCUAACGAUUCUGCCAACUUCUGCUAACGAUUCUGCCAACUUCUGCUAACGUUUCUGCCAACUUCUGCUAACGUUUCUGCCAACUUCUGCUAAUGUUUCUGCCAACUUCUGCUAACGUUUCUGCCAACUUCUGCUAACGAUUCUGCCAACUUCUGCUAACGAUUCUGCCAACUUCUGCUAAUGUUUCUGCCAACUUCUGCUAACGAUUCUGCCAGCUCGUUGCUGCCUUGAUUCUAUUCAUUAUUGAAGCAUAAAAUCUUUUUCUGGGAUUUGCUGUCAAAACAUUAUUUUUUGUUUCGGAGAUAAUUUUUGAGAGUCAACAGUUCUUAAGAUUGGCCCAGUGUGAUGCAGUGUCCACUCUUAAUACUGAUUAUGGAGAGGAGAAUCAAUUUUUCUCCAAAGAAAAUUGUGUAUUUCACCUCUAAAUUGGUAAGUUGGAACUACUCCGUUUUGAGGGGGAUUUUCCCCAUUUUAAAUCCCAGCCUUCGAAAAGUUGGGGUCGGGCAUCUUUUUACUCUUUUACUUGUUUCAGUCAUUUGACUGUGGCCAAACUUUUUUACAACCCCCUCACCAUCUCCCAUCAUCCCACUCCGGACCGACUUUCGCUAAUUGUUUGGACCUUCAAAA